GAGCCAAUAACUCAAUGGUUAGAGUUUUGGACUUUUGAUCAACAAGUCGCGCGUUCGAGCCUCGUGUGGUGCA
rnacentral:tRNA from 1 species